rnacentral:rRNA from 1 species
GACGAACCGUCCAAACGUUAUUCGGAUUCACUGGGCUUAAAGGGUGCGUAGGCGGCUCAGAAAGUAGGGUGUGAAAUCCCUCGGCUCAACCGAGGAACUGCAGCCAAUACUGCGCAACUGGAGUGGCAGAGAGGAAAGUGGAAUUCCCGGUGUAGUAGUGAAAUGCGUAGAUAUCGGGAGGAACACCAGUGGCGAAGGCGAUCACCUGGGGAUGUUCUGACGCUGAGGAGCGAAAGCUAGGGGAGCAAACGGGG